rnacentral:rRNA from 1 species
UACAGAGGGGGCAAGCGUUGUUCGGAAUUACUGGGCGUAAAGGGCGCGUAGGCGGCCCGCUAAGUCGAACGUGAAAUCCCCGAGCUCAACUCGGGAACUGCGUCCGAUACUGGCGGGCUUGAAUCCGGGAGAGGGAUGCGGAUUCCAGGUGUAGCGGUGAAAUGCGUAGAUAUCUGGAGGAACACCGGUGGCGAAGGCGGCAUCCUGGACCGGCAUUGACGCUGAGGCGCGAAAGCUAGGGGAGCAAACAGG